rnacentral:tRNA from 1 species
GCCUGGGUUGCUCAACGGUAAAGCUCCUCACUUGAGUUGCAGGGAUCCCGGGUUCGAUUCCCGGUCUAGCCA